AGCGAUAGUGUUGUGAUUUUUUAACGUUACAAUGCCUGAACCUACCAAGUCUGCUCCAGCCCCGAAAAAGGGCUCCAAGAAGGCGGUGACCAAGGCGCAGAAGAAAGACGGCAAGAAGCGCAAGCGCAGCCGCAAGGAGAGCUACUCCGUGUACGUGUACAAGGUGCUGAAGCAGGUUCACCCCGACACCGGCAUCUCGUCCAAGGCCAUGGGCAUCAUGAACUCGUUCGUCAACGACAUCUUCGAGCGCAUCGCGGGCGAGGCGUCGCGCCUGGCGCAUUACAACAAGCGCUCGACCAUCACGUCCAGGGAGAUCCAGACGGCCGUGCGCCUGCUGCUGCCUGGGGAGCUGGCCAAGCACGCCGUGUCCGAGGGCACCAAGGCCGUCACCAAGUACACCAGCUCCAAGUAAACUUGUCAAGUCUCCAAGCUGAUCCUGAUGUUGAUCCGGGACUUGGCGAUGACUGCUCAUCCAGAGCACGAAAGAGCAUUUUCUGAUAACUUUAUUCUGCUCAGAAUUUCUUUUCUUCUUUCUUUCUUAACAUACAGAUGUGUAUUACUGAAAAAAGACUGAAGACAAUGAGUUUUCACGGAAACACUACUGAGGUUUUUCUGGUUUGCUUGCUUUGCAAUUGGUCUAAUUUUUGCUUGAGGCUCUGAACAGCGAGUGGGGGAGGUAGAGGAGGAGCUUAUACUGUGUCCUGAAGGCACCGAGGGAGAGAAAACGGAAGCCGCUUUUGAGACGCCUUCAAAUCCUCUCAGUUACUACAUCUUUUUUCCCAAAAAGUCCUAUUUAAUUUACAGCCUUUUGGCAGUAUUCAGCUGUAAUGUCCUCUGGGUCACAAAAGAGAAGCCCAAUACUCAGUCCGUUAAGAUGGCUGAUUAGAUAGACAAUAGUUAUCUCAGGACUGAGGCCCCCUUUUCAGUACCCUAUACCCUUUCCCGGGUGUCCCCGAGUGUCAAGCAUGGAGGGGAGGUAGAAAGGGAAGGGAAGCCCCUUCUGGCAGAAUGGCUUAAGACUUUCGCUUCUGGGGAACGGAUUAUUGUGGAGAAAAUAAAUCUCGGAAAAGGGGCUGGAAGCUGGGAUCGGGGAGUGGCCAGAAGGAAAGGAAUCAACGGUUCAGAGUUGACUAAAAAAAUUGCAAGGUAGAUGAGGCUGGGCUGGGAGUGAAGUGCUGGUUGAGAUAGAGAAUUUAUGUGGAUGGUAUUUGGUGAGGGAGGAAUGAAUUUAGAAAUUCUAGUCUCCUCACGAUUUCCCAAACAAACACAGAUUCAUAGAUUAUGAGGAUAGAUUUUCCACAAUAUGGCAAGCUGGGUACCUGAAUGGACAAUUAAAAUCUAGAAUAAUCUUUUUUAAAUUCUUAAAAGCAAGGAAGAGCCACUAAGAAAGUAAGGAACUCUCAGGCCCAGGGGCUUGGCCUGUGUGAAACACCAAGGGCCACAACUGCCUUUCACCCAAACCUGAGCUUUGGUUUUUAGGGUGUUAUGUGAAGCCUGUCCAUGGUAGGGAGGCUUAUAAGAAAUCUUUCCCUGUGAAUCUGAGAGACCAGAUCAAAAGCCAUGUCCUUAGGGUAGAAGGAUGAACUAGAAAUAGACACACACACACUCACCACAGAUGAUUGCAAAGAGCCUGCCCUGCACCUAGGUGCUGAGCAGGGAAGAUUCCGCCACUGAGAACUGUGUACUACAAGCCAGCCUUCACAUUUGACUUGUGCCUGGCAUUAACAUCACAGAGAUUCUAGGCUGAGAAUUUAACUUAGGGAUGUUCCAAGCUGGGUUUGUGCCCCUGAGCACCUGGUAAAAGCAAAUCCAAAUCCUCUCUGGAGGAAUAAGCUUCAUUUUAGGUCUCAAUAAAUCCCGGCAGAUAAAAUAUCAAAGAAAAUGAAUGAGCAGCUUCACAAGCAAAAUUAACCAAACAUACCGUGAAACAAGACACCAUGACCAAAAAUAACAAGAGUAGCAGACAACAGACACAAAAAGAGUAAAAAGAGGCAACGAACAGAUACAGAUUUGUGACUAACUUUAAUAUCUUAAAAAAAAAAAACCAAAACUUUGAAAUAUGUUAAGGGACUAAGAAUACAAAGUAGGACCACACAGACUUAAUAAAAGAACCAAAUAGAAAUUCUAGAAAUAAAUGUAUAGAUAUACAUAUAUUUAUACAAUUAAUUAUAACAGAAUUAAAAUUAAAAGCUUACUAGAUGGGUUUUAUUAGCCAAUUGGACCCAGCUGAAGAAUUUUAAUGAACUAUAUAACCAGAUCUUAAGGAAUUAUCCAAAAUGCAGAUAGAAAAUGUAAAAGGGAGUGUAAGAGAUCUGGAAUUAGUAGUGAAAUUGUCUGACGUGCAUCUGCUUGUAGUACUGGAAGUGUAACCAGAGAGAAUGAUGCAGAAUUGAGAUUUAAAAGAUCAUGGCAGAGAAUUUUUUAGAAUUGAUGGAUUACUCAUAAUUAAAAAUAAAUUCAAUAGAGUGAAAAAUGAUACAACAAAAAAGGGGAGGUCACUGUGUGACACUGAACUAAGCCCUAUAAAUUCUUACAACAUGAAAUGCUGAUUUUCAAAGGGUUUUGCCUUCUAAUCUGUGUUGACAGAUGGCGGCGUCAGACUGAAGAAGCACUGUUUGCAGUUCUGUGGAGGGGCAGGAUAAUUGAGUAAUUGAUUAUUUACGUGCAUUUUGUACCUAGUUAAUUACCAAAUUCUGUUAAUUCUAAUCAAUAUUUAAUGGCAUCUUGAUUUUCAUUGCAUAUAAUACUAUCACUAGCAAAUAAAAAUGUUUGACAUUCUUUCCAAUAACUGUUUCUGUUAAUUGCUUUUAUCAUGUUAUUGUGUUAGCUAAAAUUAUAAACUAUCCCAUAUUAGACAUGCUAGCAGGCAUCACCAUCUUUUUCCUCAUGUUGAUGGACAUGGAUUUGGUAGUUCACGAUUUAUAAUAAUGCUUGCUUGUGUGUGUGUAUGUGCGUGGGGUAGUCUUUAUUGUGUUGAUGUAAUUUCCUUCUAAUUCUAUUUUAAGAGUUUUUACCAAGAAUGAUUUAUGAAUUUUUGGCAUCUGAUGAAAUCAUGUGCUUUUUAUCUUUUAACCUAUUGCAGUGAAGUACAGGUAGAUUUCCUAAUGUGGAUCCAUUCUUGCAUUCCUAGUCCAAAAUUUCUUUGGUCAUGUUGUAUUAUUAUCAUAAACAAUGGCUGGAUAAAUUUUAAUAUUUUAUGUGGAUUUUUUUCCAUUUCUAAUCAUACAUAAAAUCAUUCCAUAAUUUUCUUUUUUGGGUGUACCUUUAUCAGAUUUUGUCAUUAAGAUUAUGCUACCUUCAAAAACUUAAUUGUGGGGCUCUCCUCUAUUAAUUAUCUAUUGCUGUAUAACAAAUUAUUCCCAAACUGAGCAGCUCAAAUCAGUGAACAUUUAUUAUCUCAUUUAGUAUCUGUGGAUCAGGAAUCCAGAAGUGACUUAGCUAGAUGGUUAUGGCUCAAGUUCUCUCAUGAGACUACAGUCAAGAUGUAAGCAUAGGCUGCAGGCAUCUGAAGGCUUGACUGUAGCUGGAGGAUUCUCUUCCAAGGUGGCUCACUCCCAUGCCAGACAAGCUCCUGUUGGCUGUUGGCAGGAAGACCUCAGUUCAUUGCUGCAUAGACCUCUCUGGAAGGCUAAUUGACUGUCUUCAAAACAUGGAAAGGAGGAGGAGGAGCAUGAGGAAAACAAGAACAAACGUGAGCAAAAUUGAGAAGGACUCAGAAAAGGAAUGGAAGAAGCAGACUGCUACUACAAAAGGGAGAGAAAGAAUGGAGAGAUAUAAGUGCAGAGAAGAAAUGAAUGCAAACAAUAACUGAAAAUGUGAAUCUGCCCAUAGAAGUUAUGAAGUAUGAAGUCUGAUCUGCCUGAAAAUGAUUGAUUAGUGUGUAUAUCCCAUCCAAAUCCAAUCCAUCCUGGCUGGCUGCACAUUGGUUCAUCAAAAGGAGAUCAUUACCUGAGUGGGAGAGCCUAAACAAGGUGUUUUAGCUUUUUCAUUUUAUUUUUUGUUUGAAUUAUAAAAAUAGAAUUUACUUCUGUUACAGGCCUAGUUACUGGGAAUUCAUUAUUUACCAUGGACUACCUUUGCUGGGAGAAGUCAGAAUGAGAGGAUGGCAAAACAUUUGUAAAUGAGAUGUUAUGAUUAAUAAAAUUUGUGGAUAAUUGGAA